rnacentral:misc_RNA from 1 species
AACUUUUGACAACGGAUCUCUUGGCUCUCGCAUCGAUGAAGAACGCAGCGAAAUGCGAAAUGUAAUGUGAAUUGCAGAACCUCCAGUGAAUCAUCGAAUUUUUGAACGCAUCUUGCGCCCCGUGGCAUUCCGCGGGGCAUGUCUGUUUGAGUGUCGUUUGACCUCUCAACCGCUUUGGUAUUCGAUUACAAAAGUCGGCUUGGAACUUGGGUGCCUCUGGCGAAACGCAAAAGGGCCGAAGCGCAAAAGGGCUUCGGCCCUGUCGCCCACCCCAAAGUCAGUUGGGCCAACCGCGCGGAUGAGCGGACGGUUUGACCACAGUGUUGUAAGGUUCGCCUCACUGUCGGGACGUCCAUUUCCGUUAGCACGAAGGCAUUUGAAACACGAUACUAUUGAUUUUGACCUCAAAUCAGACAGGAUUACCCGCUGAACUUAAGCAUAUCAAUAAGCGGAGGCU